GAGAUGCCCUAAAACCUUUACACAUUAUUCAUAUACCAAUGAAACUUUCUAUGUUAAAAGCAAUCCAAAAAACCUAAUAUUCUCUCGACCUCAUCUGCCUCAACUUACAGCCGCCGACUUUGCUCCUCCUCUGGCUGGCGCGUGACGGCUCCGUUAGCGUCACCGUCGGUCCAGUCCGAGUGUUUUCUUCUUCUAUUGUAGUUUGUGUGCUCAGUUUUCUGGGUAGCUUCGAAUCUGAACAAAGGAGAGGUUCCGGGUUGAAGAGUUCGUGAAUCGUCAUUCUGGUGGUUCUGAACUGGCGGGUUGGAGUUCGUCGUUGAUUUAUCAUGGUGGAUUCUGCUGGGUUUUAGCCUUAUGUCCCUCUUCGUUCAGUUUCUGUUUUGGUCCUCUUGCCUGCGUUUGAAUCUGAUUAAUUGUGCUUGGAGUGUAGAGUUUUUCUUAGUUAAUCUUUGAUUCAGCUACGGUGAAGCAGCAGCAGUGGCGUGGGAUGAGCAGUUGGUUGGUAUUGUGGUCGAGGAGAAGCUGGUCUCAGGACACCUCUCCAUCUCCCUGUUGCUAAGGGUCCUUCUCUAUCCCUUGAAUAAGGUUAUUUUCCUGGUCGCACUUUGGUAUUUGUUUAUCCUUUGUGGCUUUUGUGUGUUGAAGCACUAUAAAGAAGUUAAGGCUUUGAAGUGUCAAGAUGAAGGGUAUGUUGAGUAGGGGGUUUAAUUUGUAUCCGUUGUUGCUUCUCUUUGGGUGUUAUUUUGGUUUCUCAAAGUGGUUUGUGUGUAGUCAUCGUGAACGAGUGGUUCAAAUGAGGGUGCUGCUAUUCUUCUUGAAGUCCUCUGCGGUGCGUGCUCUCUUGCUCUCUGUUUGUAGUAAGAAGACCGGCUAGUCGUAGUCAAUUAAGUUCUUGUUCUAUUAUCUCUUGUUAGCUUGUUUCUUGGAUUCUCUUAGCAAGGUGUAGUCAUGGUUUAUUUGUGUUGUUUAGCUGCUCGUGUCCUAUCCUUUUGAGCUUAAGUUUCCAACUGUUGGGAUUUGGUUCUGGAGAUCGGUAUGUGUUAUGCCGGAUUUAGUGUUUCACCAUGUAUCUUUCUAUGUUAUCAAUGGAAUUCUUCAGAUGGAAAAAAAGGUUUAUAUUUUCACACA
rnacentral:lncRNA from 1 species